UACGAAGGGGGCUAGCGUUGCUCGGAAUCACUGGGCGUAAAGCGCACGUAGGCGGCUUCUUAAGUCAGGGGUGAAAUCCUGGAGCUCAACUCCAGAACUGCCUUUGAUACUGAGAGCUUGAGUCCGGGAGAGGUGAGUGGAACUGCGAGUGUAGAGGUGAAAUUCGUAGAUAUUCGCAAGAACACCAGUGGCGAAGGCGGCUCACUGGCCCGGUACUGACGCUGAGACGCGAAAGCGUGGGGAGCAAACGGG
rnacentral:rRNA from 1 species